rnacentral:tRNA from 1 species
GCCCGAGCAGCUCAGUCGGUAGAGCGUUAGGUUUUUAACCUAACGGCCCAGAGUUCGAGCCCCUGCUCGGGCG